UCUCUAUGGAUGAGCACAGAAAAUAGUUUCUUAAAAUGGAAUCUACUCCUGGUGAAGAUACUGUGAA
rnacentral:pre_miRNA from 1 species